rnacentral:rRNA from 1 species
UACGGAGGGGGCAAGCGUUGUUCGGAAUUACUGGGCGUAAAGGGUGCGUAGGCGGCGCGGUAAGUCGGGUGUGAAAUCUCGGAGCUUAACUCCGAAACUGCAUUCGAUACUGCCGUGCUUGAGGACUGGAGAGGAGACUGGAAUUUACGGUGUAGCGGUGAAAUGCGUAGAUAUCGUAAGGAAGACCAGUGGCGAAGGCGGGUCUCUGGACAGUUCCUGACGCUGAGGCACGAAGGUCAGGGGAGCAAACGGG